CUCAAAUACCCAAGCUAAAUGGUAUAAUCGCCACAACCUACAAUAGCAUUAUACGCCCCAAAAAUCAGGGUUUGUAAUGUAACGAAUUUCCACUCAGACGAAAUGAGGCGAUCUCAGAGGGGAUUAUGAAAAAGGAUUUCUAGGGUUGUUGCCCUCCUCUGUUCAAAUGGAAGUUCGAUUUUGACUUUAUUUAGUCAAACUCCAUCCUCGUGGCCGAUGAUUUUCUUCAGAAUUCAACAACCCCUUUUAUCAGAGCUGUUCUAAAUAAGCAAAGCUCAAACACCCUGUUGAUGUCAUUAUCCCUUCAGAUCAUCUUCAACCCAUUACUAUACUCGAACCUUCAAUUUCGACUCCAGCGAUAAGGUUUGAUGAAUUUUCAGAGGCUGUGAUGAUUGAUAUGUUUUAAUCUGUCUGAGUGGAUUCGAGCAAAGUUGAGGUUAUCUGCAUCUUGGUGGGGCAACCUGGAUGGUUAUGUGAAAGAAUCUUUGUGUUCUUUUACAUUGCAACCAGUAAGUUUGCAGCCAUGGCGGAUUCAUCCUCUUUGUUCGAUUGUUGCAGAUCUGAGCCUUA